rnacentral:tRNA from 1 species
GCCCCCGUAGCUCAGGUGGAUAGAGCGACAACCUCCUAAGUUGGAGGCCGCCCGUUCGAGUCGGGCCGGGGGCGCCA